GGACAUGGCAGACACGUCGCUGAUGUCACUGUCUGACGACUUGAAGGACAGACUGUCCCUCAUCUGGACACACGGGACAAGUGUUGCCGAGCGUCUGUCGGCCUCUGACGUGGACGGAUAUGAGGACAUCGGCAUGACGUGACAAAGGAAGGAAGUGAUGUCACUGACACCCACCGCUCUGUGGCUCCAUUGCUUGUGGCGACUGGCGGCCCCUGCGUCGGUGGGUGUGGGACCCCGUGCUGGGUGUGG